CUGAGUGUGAGGAAGAUUAGGUCUGUAACAGCCCUAGCUGGGUAGAGCAUUCAGGAAUUGAUAGUUGCUGUUAUUUGCAGAAAAUUUUUUUCUGUUUUCUCCACUUGUAAUUCUUUGGGGCGAUACAUACAUUGAGUGACACGGAGUCCCAAAUUCAGAGACGUCUGCUGAGAGUGGGGGUGGCCUAACAUGUGGCCAGUGGAGGAGCCCAUCUCAGUCCUACUUGCCAGGGGCGCCAUUGCUUGGGUCCAAAGCCCCACGCCUCCUCCAGUCUGCGACUUUUGCUUCCACGUGCACGUCUUGUGGUGGCCAUUGCUCCUGGACCCCAAAAGCCAGUUUCCUUCUACCUUGGGGCUUAUGGAAGGAUCACCGUUUCCCAUGCCCUGAAGAACCACACAGCCACGAGACUUGCUGUGGUCUAAGAAGUGAGUGGCGCUUCCAGGUGGAAGCGUUUGAGCUGAUGUGUGUGACUCUCUGUGCACUUGUUGACUUGACCACCAGCUUUCCAAAUGGUGGAGCUUUUGUCAGCCAAGGUCGUAGAGUGAAAAUGACGUGGAACAGAGUCCUUGUAGAUCCGUGACCACGGUCACAUGAGUCAGGAAUAAACCUUCCUUGUUCUGAG
rnacentral:lncRNA from 1 species